GACAGAGGGUGCAAACGUUGUUCGGAAUUACUGGGCGUAAAGCGCGUGUAGGCGGUCGCGUAAGUCGGAUGUGAAAGCCCUCGGCUUAACCGGGGAAGUGCACCCGAAACUGCGUGACUUGAGUCCCGGAGAGGAUAGUGGAAUUCUCGGUGUAGAGGUGAAAUUCGUAGAUAUCGAGAGGAACACCGGUGGCGAAGGCGGCUAUCUGGACGGUGACUGACGCUGAGACGCGAAAGCGUGGGGAG
rnacentral:rRNA from 1 species